AUACGGACUGAGCAAAAUUACGUCACUGAGAAGAGACGCGAGAAUCCGCUUCAUCAGAAAAAGACGUAACCGAUUGACGACAUCAGGUGACCGUAAUGAGGAAUUAAAGGGAGGUAUAUAAGAACGACUGAAUGCUGGAUAAGAUCUACAAGCAACUGAAGAAGCCUUCUAAUAGGCGAAACGCGUCUUGCAAGCUUUCACCAAUUAUUCUGGACUUUAUACAUUGUACCCAUUUACUAUUUUAUCUUAUCUUUUAUUUUUAUUUUUUUGCACUAAUAAAGAAUUUCC